GCCUCGGUGGCGGAAUUGGUAGACGCGCUGGAUUCAAAAUCCAGUGAUAGCAAUAUCGUGUGGGUUCGAUUCCCACCCGAGGUAC
rnacentral:tRNA from 1 species